GUGUGCGUGUAUAUAUAUAUAUAUAUAUAUAUAUAUGCACAUAGUCUGCAUGGAUGUGAUGGAUCGCAGAUGGCGGUGCUUACACUUUGGAGUCGGUGUAUAUUUCAGCGUGUCGUAAGUUCCUUUUCCGUUCAUGCAAGCAGAACAGCAUACUUUGCUGCUGCGGAUGCUUUGCUGUUUGAUUAAGGAGAAAAAAGCAACUUUUAUUUCUCUGAAUGAACUAGUGUACAAGUGCAAGUACUGAGUAUUGCUUCAUAUUUGAUAAUCACUUUCUAUUUAGUGAAACUCUGAUUACUAACAGUAUUUGUACUGUUUGACGAAACUGCAAUACAAUCUCAAUAGUCGCCUUUCCCCUCCCCACCCGUCUUGGUAUCUUCAUUUGGACUGUUUUCACUUGGUUUCUUUGGUGUUUUGACAUGCGUGGGCAUGGCUUUGACUAGGUAAGGAAAACAAUGCAAAUUAAUAUGAAUUCACGGUAUGGAUUUUUCUAAGCCUGAGCAAAACCAUGCAGUAUUCGAUAUACACACAUAUAUGGACGUAUAUUGUAGAGCUAGAGUAUUUAGUACCAAUGCUUGAUGAGGUGUGAGUUAAUUGUGUGCAAUUCUCUCAUUUAUGCAUGUGUGACAAAGUUAACUUGUCCCUUACAUUUGUUGAUGGCUAAAGGCUUCUCAGUGUCGACUGCUUCUUUUAAACAUUCCGUCAGGGAGGAUAUAUGUAUACAUAUAUAAAUAUAUACGGUGGGAGCAGGUGUCAGCAGUCUACAUAGCAUAUAUCUAUAUAUGUAGAUCUGUGUUUGUGUGUGUGUGUGUGUGUGUAUUUUCUGUUCAUUUUCGGAGUUAGUUGUGUAUAAUUUUGUCUUUAAUUUUAAAUGAAGUUGCUUGGCAGCACCAAAGACUGUAAUUCAUUUCCCGAGCAAGGUAGCUACUCUUUGCAUCAACCUCACUUAGAACGUAGUCGUAGAAUCGGGGUGGAUGAAUUAAAAACAAAACAAACAUGUACUUCAACGCGGCCGAGGUUUUGUCUAGCUUAUUGGGCAAUUAAUAAGUCGGAUCAUUUCUUUCUUUCUUGAAUGUAUCAUAGAUAAGCUGCUAAAUGAUGAUUGCCACUUCGAUAGCUGUGAAAUUAGGUGAUUUCUCCUGAGUUUGAACCGAGCGUUGUGAUUUUGUGUGUGUGCGUGCGUGCGUGCAUGUAGGUCCCUAAUUACCUAAAAUUGGAGUGGUUUUGAUUAUUUUUUUUUCCGUGUUCCUAUUUGGAGUGUCAUUGUAACUACUGUAUUGCUGAUAAUGAACACUAGUUGCAUUUGUCGUUUCUCGAGGUGUGCGCGCGUGUUUAUGCAUCAGUAUUUGAUCCUUUUUUUCAACCUAUCCUUUGGGCUCAUCCUAGCAUAUAAACGACGUAUCGACGUAGAACUUAAUUUUUGUAUGUUUUCAUAUUGAUGUUUCGUACACAUUUAGAAACCGUAGCUUGCAGUAUCAAUUUAACUUGUACAUCAAGAAUAUUCUACCAGUGCAGGAGCACUGUGAUAGGACAUCUUAAGAACAUCAUUGUGCAUGUUAAACUCACUUAGACUCACCACAAAGGAAGACGGAUUAGACGACGUGCCCAAAAAUGAAUGAAUUUCAUCCCUCCAAAAAUGUUUGAACUGAUUGAACCUAGUAUUUAUUGUUAGAAUGUUUUUAUCUGUUCAAUGUUAUAAAAAUAUCAGCUUUGCCUUGCGUUCUAAUCGCUGCCCCCACCCCCACGCUCUUCUCAAUGUUUUUAAUUGGAAAGCUGCCAUUGUCGUGUGGUCUUACUGAAACUGAAGCAGUGCGAGCAGCACUGUCUCUUUGUGCCUUGAGAUUCAGAACAUUCGAGAUGCAUAUUGGAGGAGGAACUUAGGGCGAGAGUCCAUUAACCCUGCGAAAACGAUAUGAGGACAAGUCUUGGGACACUGGCAGAAGGUGAAAAUUGCAGAAAAGAAUGCUUUUGCCCAUCCCCUUUGCCUGGCUCACAAUUAAUCGUUUACAUCGAGAUCGUACAAAACGGCCUCGUCAGAGCAGUGACUAACAUAGUCGCUCCAUUUUAUUUAUUGAGCACUAAAAAAAAAAAAAAACAAUUACAGAUUAAAGGGUCAAGUCUCAUUGCUGUGCUUUAUGCCAAGGAAUAAAAAUGGGUUUUAAGACUUGUUUUUAAAAAACGGACAGCGAAGGGACCUAUCUAAUGUCCACCGGGAGGUCAUUCUGUCUUUCGGUACCGGCGACGGUGGGGGGGGAAUCUCAUCUGUGAGAUUGGAAAACAUUGAAUCUUAAAAUGAACUCUAAAGUGCGCAACAGCCAUGGUGCGAAACUGGAGUGAGAGUCCUUUGUUCUCCGUCUUAUGUGCUCCAGUUAGGAGGUUAGUGGGAAGUGUUUUGAAGCAACUGGAGACAUUUGUGAGAGGGCUUGCCGACUCCAAAGUAAAUUGCGUCACGGGCAUCUUGAGGUGUGAUGACGGCAUUGAUUACUGUUUCAAAGCACUGUCGUACAAGAAAAAUGCUUCACCUUUGCCAGCUGCCCGAGGUGGGAAAAAAAGCGCACAUUAGCUGAGGCUGUUUAAAAUGAAUGCAAUUUUUCAAAUGGUAAUUUAUUUUUAGAAUGAGGAAAAUUAAUACAUUUGCUUUCACACGGUGAUGCGGCAUCCCCUCAGUUCGAUAAUCUGAUGAGUGAUCACAUCAGUCCAGGCAAGGCCACUUGGGUCGCCCCUUUUUCAUGUCACAACAGCAGCUUGGCAAAAGGAGGCUUUCGCAAGCGGCGUAAAAGAGUUGAGUGUUUGAUGAGGUUCUAGUCAGGCCUCUGGAAUUCUUCCAAAGUCAGUCAUUCCUUCAUCAAGUCAUUGCUUCAUGCGCCGUUAACAGAAAAGAGCCACAUCUGUUCCCACUGUAAUGAAAGAAUAGAGCUGUCUUGCUAAAAUGAGGAAUUAAGAAUCUGCGGGAACUAAGGGAUAUUAUCCAACUCUAAUUGAUGACUCACGGUCAAGAUGCGUGUCCCAAGACUUUUGCGCGUAUAGAUGACUGUUCUGAUCAGUUUAUAGAAACAUGAGAGGAUGGCGCCGAGUGGUGGAUUGUACCAAUAAUACACUUAAACUUCAUCAACAUCAUCAUGGCGUCACCCAUUUUUGGAUUGUCACUGGCUUGAAACAGCGAGAUGCAAUACUUUCAACAUUUUUGCCGUCAUUGCACCACACAAGUGUUCUUAGAUGAGCUGUUUAUUGACAUGAGCUUGCAUGUGUGUCACUUUGUUUUCGUCGAGCACAUCCGGUAACACUGGCUUUGGGGAAUCAUGGAACUUCUCUUCUUGCAUGUUGAUUUUUUUUUCUCCACUCUUCGUUGUUGAAUUAAGGAGAUUAUUCUUGCGGAUUUACGGCGCGCUAAUAGGCGCGAUACGUUUUCGACACUGAUAUGGUUGUAUGCUUUUUUUUUUUUUUUUUGCUUUCUGACGGAUCAUGACGGUGUUUAAUUUUGGACACGAAAGCUUUCGGCGACAAGGCAUGCACUUGGCGGAUGAUUACUGCUUAAAAGUUUGCCAAGAAUGCGCAUGGGGAAAUGUCAUCUUGUGUUGUGGUUCCUCCCAAAGUAUUCACCAGCAAUGCGACGCACGAGGAGAUGAAACCUAUUGUUUGGGAUUUGACCCCUCACCAUGCUUUACAGAAAUGUGUGUUUUCUUUUGGAGAAUCCGUGUAACAUUUAACAGAUAAAACAGUUUGUAAACUAUUGUAGUUUUGAGUUGAUGACAAACAAAAAAUCUUCUGCUGCGAUUUUAUCCUUUAGAGCUGUUAAUUCAGGUUCGGUAUUAGUCUCAAUGUGCUACUGUGUUCCCGUUUUGAUUUGUUUUGCUCGAUUUUGUUUUUGCUUGUGUUCAUCCCUUUCUGCAGAGUUAAUUCAUGCUGCAAGUUAUGGAAUUAUCUGUCUAGAUGGUUCAUCAAAUACACUUGAUUAUGAAAUCUGAGCUAUUACUGUUUAAAAAAACCCUGUAGAUGAUUGUGUGGCUUUGAUGGUUUUUUUCAUUUGUUUUAUUUGCUUUAUUUUUUAUUUGUCUGUGCUACACUAGUUUGCCAUGUAGCAAUUGCACUGUGCAAUAUUUACAGUAUGAGAACUGGGAAACUAAUAUGGAUGUGAUGUCUCUUUACAGUUUGCGUUAGUGUUUCCUCUCUAGUUCUCAGUGAUUUUAGGUGUGACCAAGCCUUCUCUACUUAGUCACAUUAAGCGGGUUUUCCAGGUGACUCUUUUGGUGAGUGUCGAAGUAAGACUUAUAAAUGGUGUAUUAUUGUUAAGAUUCACUUUGAAUUAAAAAAAAAAUCUAUUGACACGGUG